rnacentral:lncRNA from 1 species
AACCGAAGCCUCUGUUUUAACCCAAGAAGCACGGACGUGUGACCUGGCGGUUACAGCCCACUCGGGGGAAUCACAGCGACAGAGAAAGUCCGAUUUCCUAUGGGUACCGCGCCCUACAGGAAUCGUCGGGAUAGACCAGGUCUCGCCUCUGUCUCAAGGACACAGACAAACAGCUGAGGACUGAGUCUUUGUUCCCC